GACGCCGCUGGCGGCGUGCUUAACACAUGCAAGUCGAACGAGUGGCGAACGGGUGAGUCAUGUCUGGGACACUGCCUGAUGGAGGGGGAUCACUACUGGAAACGGUAGCUAAUACCGCAUACCAUCGGAUGUGCCCAGAUGGGAUUAGAUAGUAGGUGGGGUAACGGCUCACCUAGGCGACGCUCCCUAGAUGGUCUGAGAGGAUGACGAGCAACACUGGAACUGAGACACGGGGCAGACUCCGACGGGAGGCAGCAGUGGGGAAUAUUGCACAAGGGGCGCAAGCCUGAUGCAGCCAUGCAGGGUGUAUGAAGAAGGCCUGCGGGUUGUAAAGUACAGUCAGCGGGGAGGCGUUACCCGCAGAAGAAGCACCGGCUAACGCCGUGCCAGCAGCCGCGGUAAUUC
rnacentral:rRNA from 1 species